rnacentral:rRNA from 1 species
GUGUCAGCAGCCGCGGUAAUACGGAGGGAGCUAGCGUUGUUCGGAAUUACUGGGCGUAAAGCGCACGUAGGCGGCUAUUCAAGUCAGAGGUGAAAGCCCGGGGCUCAACCCCGGAAUAGCCUUUGAAACUAGAUAGCUAGAAUCUGGGAGAGGUGAGUGGAAUUCCGAGUGUAGAGGUGAAAUUCGUAGAUAUUCGGAAGAACACCAGUGGCGAAGGCGGCUCACUGGACCAGAAUUGACGCUGAGGUGCGAAAGCGUGGGGAGCAAACAGGAUUAGAUACCCGAGUAGUCC